GACGAACGCUGGCGGCGUGCCUAAUACAUGCAAGUCGAGCGCAGGAAACUGACGGAACUCUUCGGAGGGAAGGCAGUGGAAUGAGCGGCGGACGGGUGAGUAACACGUAAGGAACCUGCCUCAAGGAUUGGGAUAACUCCGAGAAAUCGGAGCUAAUACCGGAUAGUUCAACGGACCGCAUGGUCCGCUGAUGAAAGGCCCUCCGGCGUCACCUUGAGAUGGCCUUGCGGUGCAUUAGCUAGUUGGUGGGGUAACGGCCCACCAAGGCGACGAUGCAUAGCCGACCUGAGAGGGUGAUCGGCCACACUGGGACUGAGACACGGCCCAGACUCCUACGGGAGGCAGCAGUAGGGAAUCUUCCACAAUGGACGAAAGUCUGAUGGAGCAACGCCGCGUGAGUGAUGAAGGUUUUCGGAUCGUAAAACUCUGUUGUAAGGGAAGAACACGUACGAGAGGGAAUGCUCGUACCUUGACGGUACCUUACGAGAAAGCCACGGCUAACUACGUGCCAGCAGCCGCAGUAAUAC
rnacentral:rRNA from 1 species